GAUGAACGCUAGCUACAGGCUUAACACAUGCAAGUCGAGGGGAAACGAUAUUGGAAGCUUGCUUCCGAUAGGCGUCGACCGGCGCACGGGUGAGUAACGCGUAUCCAACCUGCCCAUCACUUGGGAAUAACCUUGCGAAAGUAAGACUAAUGCCCAAUGACAUUUAUAGAAGGCAUCUGAAAUGAAUUAAAGAUUUAUCGGUGAUGGAUGGGGAUGCGUCUGAUUAGCUUGUUGGCGGGGUAACGGCCCACCAAGGCGACGAUCAGUAGGGGUUCUGAGAGGAAGGUCCCCCACAUUGGAACCGAGACACGGUCCAAACUCCUACGGGAGGCAGCAGUGAGGAAUAUUGGUCAAUGGACGUAAGUCUGAACCAGCCAAGUAGCGUGCAGGAUGACGGCCCUAUGGGUUGUAAACUGCUUUUAUGCGGGGAUAAAGUUAGGGAUGUAUCCCUUUUGCAGGUACCGCAUGAAUAAGGACCGGNUAAUCCGUG
rnacentral:rRNA from 1 species